CCUACGGGAGGCAGCAGUGGGGAAUAUUGGGCAAUGGGCGCAAGCCUGACCCAGCAACGCCGCGUGAAGGAAGAAGGCCCUCGGGUUGGAAACUUCUUGUAACAGGGACGAAGAAAGUGACGGUACCUGGUGAAUAAGCCACGGCUAACUACGAGCCAGCAGCCGCGGUAAUACGUAGUUGGCAAGCGUUAUACGGAUUGACUGGGUGUAAAGGGCGGGGAGGCGGGAGAGCAAGUCAGACGUGAAAUUCCAGGGCUCAACCCUGGAACUGCUUUUGAAACUGUUCUUCUUGAGGGCUGGAGAGGCCGGCGGCAUUCCGUGUGUAGCGGUGACAUGCGUAGAUAUACGGAGGAACCCCAGUGGCGCAGGCGGCCUGCUGGACAUUACCUGACGCUGCGGCGCGAAAGCGUGGGGAGCAACC
rnacentral:rRNA from 1 species